UACGGAGGGUGCGAGCGUUGUCCGGAAUCACUGGGCGUAAAGGGCGCGUAGGUGGCGCGGCAAGUCAACGGUGAAAGCUCGACGCUCAACGUCGAGUCGGCCGUCGAUACUGCUGGGCUUGAGCACUGUAGAGGCAGAUGGAAUUCCGGGUGUAGCGGUGGAAUGCGUAGAUAUCAGGAGGAACACCGGUGGUGUAGACGGCUUUCUGGACCGUAACUGACGCUGAAACACGAAAGCGUGGGUAGCAAACAGG
rnacentral:rRNA from 1 species